CUUAAUCCUCUUGUCUCUUUUUUUCUCUCACUCUCUGUCUGUCUCUUUCUCUCUCUCUCCCUGUCAGUCUGUCUCUUUCUAUCUCUCUCCCUCUCUGUCUGUUUCUCUCUGUGUCUAUCUCCCUCUUCUCUGUCUCUCUCUGUCUCUUUUUAUGGCUGUGAAAAGUGAUUGUUGCAGAAUACAGAACCUGCUCUGAAAUCUUAAUGAGACAGACGGACAGAGGGAGAGAGGGAGGGAGACAGUGUGUGUGGGAGAAGAGAGAGAGAGGCUGAAUCACUGCAAGAGACCCAAGGAGACAGAGAUUGCCAAGAGAGACAGACUGCGACACAGCCAGGCCAAUUAGAGAGACUGCCCUGCUGGCAAUGAGCAACAGAGACAGCGAGGGGGAUAAGAGAGAGAGAGACAUGCAGAGAGAGAGAGAGCGUGGUCCCUGCCUGCUGCCUCCUAUGAGUCAAUCCUUAUAGACGGUCUCUGUCUGUCUCAUCUUCAGACUGCCCACUUGCUGGUCCCUCAGCAUCUCUGAGAGAGGGGGAACACAGAG